UUAUUACAAUAUAAGUUUCAAUAUAAAAGUGUUCAAAUGAAAUUGUUUAAGUUUUUGAUAAAUAUAGAUUGUAAAGAGUUUUCAUAUUCUCCAAAAAUAGAUUUUUUACUUUAAAAUAAAUUCCACAUUUAUUUUUUAGCUUUAAUGUCCGCUGCAACCGAUACCUCGUACGAAGCUUACAGGGUGUAUCGGAGACGAAAUCGUGGGCCCACUAGCCCCAAUUCAUAUAGGAGGUGGGCC